GCCAGCAUGGCAUAGUUGUUUAAGUGUUGGACUACAACUCUGGAAUCCAGGGUUCAAUUCCCAGCUCAGUCA